rnacentral:sRNA from 1 species
CGCCACCAAAAGCCUCUCCUUGGCUCUCCUCACCACCAAAGCCGAAUCGUUUGCUCUACUUACCACUAUCACCAAUAAAGUCAGUUAUGUGUUUCAAAACAAACGAGGAAGGGGAAAUAAUAGACUUCUUUGAUAUAUUUAUUGACCAUUUGGUCUCAAAGAAUCAUCACAUCCUUACCUGAAGAGAGAGCGUGAAGUAUGGUUAUUGGGUUGAGUUGGCUUUAGAAGCACUGUUUGAUAUUGAAGUUGAGUUUGAGUCUAGUAUGGAUGAAGAUAAGAUGAAAAGUAAAAGUUGAUUUUUCAAAAUGAAAAGUGCUCCGUUUGGUAAUAUAUAUAUCUUGGAGAAAGAGAUAGUCUAUAUGGAGCGUGAAGAACUUUUAGAAAACAUUUCUUAUUUCAAUCUUGUGGAGCAAAACAAGAAGAAUGGUCUUCCUCCUCCUCAAGAAAGAACAUGGAAGUCACUAGAGCAUAAAGGAGUCAUUCUUCCAUUGCCUUACCAAAAACACAACGUUCCCCUUAUCUACGAUAAAAAACUCUUAAGAAUUUCCAAUAUAAACUAAAACUUCAUACUAAAAUAAGAUUUGUUUUUUCUUUCAAACGUAAUAAAGAACACAAAUAUGUCAAAAAAAAACAAUCGUGAUAUGUUGAUAAGAAAAUAUCAA